rnacentral:rRNA from 1 species
ACUCCUACGGGAGGCAGCAGUGGGGAAUAUUGGACAAUGGGGGAAACCCUGAUCCAGCAAUGCCGCGUGUGUGAAGAAGGCCUCGGUUGUAAAGCACUUCAAUAGGGAGGAAAGCUGUGCGUUAAUAGCGUACAGCCGUGACGUUACCUAUAGAAGAAGCACCGGCUAACUCCGUGCCAGCAGCCGCGGUAAUACGGAGGGUGCAAGCGUUAAUCGGAAUUACUGGGCGUAAAGCGCGCGUAGGCGGUUUGCUAAGUCAGAUGUGAAAUCCCCCGGGCUCAACCUGGGGAAUGGCAUUUGAGACUGGUAGGCUAGAAUGUGGUAGAGGUGAGUGGAAUUCCAGGUGUAGCGGUGAAAUGCGUAGAGAUCUGGAGGAACAUCAGUGGCGAAGGCGACUCACUGGGCCAUUAUUGACGCUGAGGUGCGAAAGCGUGGGUAGCAAACAGGAUUAGAUACCCCUGGUAGCGACUGA